GAUGAACGCUAGCGGCAGGCCUAACACAUGCAAGUCGAGGGGUAGAACACUUCGGUGUUUGAGACCGGCGCACGGGUGCGUAACGCGUAUGCAAUCUACCUUGUACAGGGGAAUAGCCCAGAGAAAUUUGGAUUAAUGCCCCAUAGUAUAUAACCUUCGCAUGUUGGUUAUAUUAAAGUUCCAACGGUACAAGAUGAGCAUGCGUCCCAUUAGUUAGUUGGUAAGGUAACGGCUUACCAAGACGAUGAUGGGUAGGGGUCCUGAGAGGGAGAUCCCCGACACUGGUACUGAGACACGGACCAGACUCCUACGGGAGGCAGCAGUGAGGAAUAUUGGUCAAUGGGCGCAAGCCUGAACCAGCCAUGCCGCGUGCAGGAAGACGGUCCUAUGGAUUGUAAACUGCUUUUAUACAGGAAGAAACCCUCCCACGUGUGGGAGAUUGACGGUACUGUAGGAAUAAGGAUCGGCUAACUCCGUGCCAGCAGCCGCCGUAAUAC
rnacentral:rRNA from 1 species